rnacentral:rRNA from 1 species
ACUACGGGUGGCAGCAGUGAGGAAUAUUGGUCAAUGGGCGGGAGCCUGAACCAGCCAAGCCGCGUGAGGGAAGAAGGUACAGCGUAUCGUAAACCUCUUUUGUCAGGGAACAAAGGCGGGGACUAGUCCCCGGAUGAGGGUACCUGAAGAAAAAGCAUCGGCUAACUCCGUGCCAGCAGCCGCGGUAAUACGGGGGAUGCGCGCGUUAUCCGGAUUUAUUGGGUUAAAAGGGGGCGCUGAGGGCCUGUUCAGUCAGCGGGAAAAGCCCGGGGCUCAACCCCGGCGAGCCGUUGAAACUGGCGGGCGGGAGUUGGAGAGAAGUACGCGGAAUGCGCGGUGUAGCGGUGAAAGGCUUAGAUAUCGCGCAGAACCCCGAUUGCGAAGGCAGCGUACCGGCUCCACACUGACGCUGAGGCACGAAAGCGUGGGUAUCGAACAGGAUUAGAUACCCUUGUAGUC